CAACUUGGGUGCGCGUGGGCGCGGUAACACGUUGGGUUCGAGGGUGGUGUGGAAUUAGUGAGUGUAAAGGUGGGCUGGGGGGUGGGUGGCGUCGGCCGUGAAAACUUGCAGCUUAACUGAGGGCGUGCGGUCGAUACGGGCAUCUCUGGAGUGCGGCAGGGGAGACUGGAAUUCCUGGUGUAGCGGUGAAAUGCGCAGAUAUCAGGAGGAACACCGGUGGCGAAGGCGGGUCUCUGGGCCGAUACUGACGCUGAGGAGCGAAAGCGUGGGGAGCGAACAGGAUUAGAUACCCUGGUAGUC
rnacentral:rRNA from 1 species